rnacentral:rRNA from 1 species
CGGAGGAAUCAUUACUGAGUUUACGCUCUACAACCCUUUGUGAACAUACCUAUAACUGUUGCUUCGGCGGGUAGGGUCUCCGCGACCCUCCCGGCCUCCCGCCUCCGGGCGGGUCGGCGCCCGCCGGAGGAUAACCAAACUCUGAUUUAACGACGUUUCUUCUGAGUGGUACAAGCAAAUAAUCAAAACUUUUAACAACGGAUCUCUUGGUUCUGGCAUCGAUGAAGAACGCAGCGAAAUGCGAUAAGUAAUGUGAAUUGCAGAAUUCAGUGAAUCAUCGAAUCUUUGAACGCACAUUGCGCCCGCCAGCAUUCUGGCGGGCAUGCCUGUUCGAGCGUCAUUUCAACCCUCAAGCUCUGCUUGGUGUUGGGGCCCUACAGCUGAUGUAGGCCCUCAAAGGUAGUGGCGGACCCUCUCGGAGCCUCCUUUGCGUAGUAACUUUACGUCUCGCACUGGGAUCCGGAGGGACUCUUGCCGUAAAACCCCCAAUUUUCCAAAGGUUGACUCG